rnacentral:lncRNA from 1 species
CAUUAGGGUUUUAAACCCUAAACUGAACUUUUUUUUCUCAGCCAGCAUUAGGGUUUUAAACCCUAAACUGAGCUUUUCCUUCCAGUCAGCAUUAGGGUUUUAAACCCUAAACUGAGUUUUUCCUUUCAGUCAGCAUUAGGGUUUUAAAACCCUAAACUGAAUUUUUCCUUUAAUCAGCAUUAGGGUUUUAAAACCCUAAACUGAAUUUUUCCUUUAGUCAGCAUUAGGGUUUUAAACCCUAAACUGAACUUUUUCCCAUUCAGCCAGCAUUAGGGUUUUAAACCCUAAACUGAGCUUUUCCAUGCAAUCAGCAUUAGGGUUUUAAACCCUAAACUGAAUUUUUCCUUUAGUCAGCAUUAGGGUUUUAAACCCUAAACUGAACUCUUUCCUUUAGUCAGCACUAGGGUUUUAAACCCUGAACUGAACUUUUUCCUUUAAUCAGCCUUAGGGUUUUAAACCCUAAACUGAACUUUUUCCAUUCAGCCAGCAUUAGAGUUUUAAACCCUAAACUGAGCUUUUCCAUGCAGUCAGCAUUAGGGUUUUAAACCCUAAACUGGCCCUUUUCCUUUAAUCAGCGUUAAGGUUUUAAACCCUAAACUGAACCUUUUUCCUUUCAGCCAGCAUUAGGGUUUAAACCCUAAACUGAGCUUUUUCAUGCAAUCAGCAUUAGGGUUUU